rnacentral:rRNA from 1 species
CCUACGGGAGGCAGCAGCCGCGGUAAUAUUGGACAAUGGGCGAAAGCCUGAUCCAGCCAUGCCGCGUGAGUGAUGAAGGCCCUAGGGUUGUAAAGCUCUUUCAACGGUGAAGAUAAUGACGGUAACCGUAGAAGAAGCCCCGGCUAACUUCGUGCCAGCAGCCGCGGUAAU